AGUCUGGCUGGAGCUGGACCGGCUGGUGGCGCCAGGCAGUGCCAAGCACCCCUGGCAGCCCAGCAGAGGGUUCUCAAAUCCAGAUUUCAUUCUGCAGUCCCGGCAGUGCUUUGACGACUGCCUCACUAAAGGAAGCUAAAAGCUGUGUUGAUGCCUCCCAGACGAGCCUCGUUGGAAGCACAGAACCUUCACGGCUCGGAGCCACUGACACCGUGACAAAGGGAGCCCUGCUCAGGAGAAAGAGUAAAUAAGAGGAAGUUGCACUUUUUCAGGUGUCAGGCUGGAGGCAGCCACUUGAAGAUGAGUCUACCUCUGCCUUAGGAGUGCCUGAUGGCCUGCGCCAUUCCAUGUUAUGUCUACUGAUUUGCUCCCUGUAUUCAAUGAUUAUUUUUUUACUUAAUUCGCUCUUACUGACCCUGAGAGUGACCAUAUUUUUAACCAAGUUGGUCUUCAGCCUCAAAACUUAGCUUUUUCCUUUUGUGGUCCCUGAAUCCCAUCACAUGUCAUGGUGGCUGUGAAGAUGUUUGCCAAGCCUGCUGAGAAAGCUCAUCUGUGGCAUCCAAGAGCAGAGAUUUCAACUCUAAACCCCUGUGACCUGCCUUUGGAAUUAUGGAUACCCAGCACCGUUUUGAAAUAUCAGUGGACAUCCAGUUUUUAAAAGCCCUCAGAGCUUCGGGAGACACCCCUUUAUCUCUCUGGCAUGUCAGAGAACCGAUUCAACCCUUCUCAUCUCCUCCUCCUUCCCUCUCUUGGGCAAUCAGGAUGUAGCAGCAACUCACCGUGCAUGUUUUUACAGCUCUUCUCCAGUAAUGCUGCCAUUUCCACUGCAGACCACAGGAUAAAAGGACCGCUUCACAGUGGCCCAGGAUACCCUUUUAAAUAGGAGAGCCAGAUCAAGGAAAGAGACAGGAAAGCAGUUGAUUGUACCUGCCUUCCCUGAGUGCACGCGGGAGGAGAAGGAUCAUCUCAAAAAGGAUUAAGGAAUGAGAACAUGGAAAUCACUUACACACGCGGUCGUGGCUUGGACUUGGCUGAAUCACAUUGCCUUUGCCUCGUAGGUUCAGUUGGAUCUCCAAGUGGCGGUACCGUUCCCUCCACGUCAAAAAUACACAGAAACAUGUGGAAAUGUUCUGUCAUCCAGAUUGAAAAGCAUGUGCACCAAAUUUGCACAGACCUGAUUCGAAUGUAGAUAAAAGUGCAAAAUCCAGAGGGGGGAACACGCUAUAGAAAUCCUGUCUUCUAUACUAUGAUUUAAUCAUCGUGUGCCACAGAACGUCUUUGCAUAAAUUACAACCACAAUGAUAGCAUCCCUUUCACAAAAGGUGGCCUCUGAUCGAUUUGACUCUCCAAGAGAUGGCUGGGUUUUUCAAAGCAGAGAAAUGAUGCCCUGAAGUCUUAAAGAGCUGUUGAUUGCACCUGGGGCUCCCGUGGCCGGUGCCCAUCGAGCAGCCCAUCCUGGCUGUUCCCUUGUUCAGCUGAUUUUCUUUUUUAUCUUGACAUUUGCUAAGCGCUUGGUUUUUAUUUUCCGGAAAGAGAGGAUUAUUGGCAACUGGCACCACCCCCAUGUCUGGAGGAGGGACGUUUCUAGGAUGACCCCCAGAGUGGAGAAAUAGCCGAGGUAACCUUUUUGCUAUAAAUUUCUUCCCCUGCCUCCGUCUUCUGUUCCUUUCCUUUCCCCCAUCCCUUGAACAAACAUGAUUUUUAAAUUCCCCUCAUUUUUAGUGCUUUGGAGUCUUCUCAGAUCUGGACGAAAACAGCUCCUGGGCUGUGCUGAGCAGUUCCGGAGCCCUGGCUCCCUUUCCCCCGGCCUAAGCCCCCAAAAGAGAGUCUUUUUCAGGACCAUGGGAGCAUGUUUUAAAAGGCUUUCUAUUGAAGUGAGGCCGUCAGCCAGCCGUGCGUGUCCGCAUUGUGGUGGUCCCAGAGCCUUAUGGACAAUCUUUUGAAAGAAUAGGGUUGGGAAGAUUCUCAGGACAGAAGUGGCUAAUUUCCAUCCUUGGAGCUUUAUCUCACAAAGGAUAUUUGAUAGAAAGAAAAAAUGGAGUCUGUGGAAGCUUUGCUCCUAUUUCCAAAUGGGUUGACUCUGGAUGGAAAUGAAUAUUUUCACAUUUUUCCCAAUAGAGGAAAGCUUUGAGUGCCAAAAUCCUCAAAGGAGAAUGAACAUCACACAUCACACAUGUAUGUGUAAGGGUAGAAUAAUAUGGUAAAAAAUCCAGUGAGUACAAGCACACAAUGGGCAUUCGUUACAGGUUAAAUGAAUAAGUAAGAAAAAUUCAAAGUUGUUAUUGCCGUUUAUGAGGGUGGUGAUUAUUAACAGAUGCAAAUGUAUACUCCCUUUUGUAAUCACAACAGUGUGAAAGUCUUAUCUCUGAUCAUUACCAUGAGGACACUUAAAUAUUUAGCCCUGGGAACAAAAUGGUUUGUAGGCAGGACGUCCUGUGUGUUUAUGUGCACGUAUAAAAUGUAGCCCUGGCCCCAGGACUGCCAGGCCUCUGACUGCAUUAUUUACAUUCAGGGGUGUCCUGAUCAACAUGGCCCCAUAGAAUAAUAGAGGGAAUUUCAGAUAGUACAGUGUUACAUAAUAAAACGCUUUCCACUGACUCUGUUUAUAUGUGGAAAUUUGAAGUACUGAGUGAAAAAGAAUAGUGAAAAUAAA